rnacentral:rRNA from 1 species
CCUACGGGGGGCUGCAGUGGGGAAUAUUGGACAAUGGGGGCAACCCUGAUCCAGCCAUGCCGCGUGUGUGAAGAAGGCCCUCGGGUUGUAAAGCACUUUCAGUGAGGAAGAACGCCUGGUGGUUAAUACCCAUCAGGAAAGACAUCACUCACAGAAGAAGCACCGGCUAACUCCGUGCCAGCAGCCGCGGUAAUACGGAGGGUGCGAGCGUUAAUCGGCAUUACUGGGCGUAAAGCGCGCGUAGGUGGCUUGAUAAGCCGGUUGUGAAAGCCCCGGGCUCAACCUGGGAACGGCAUCCGGAACUGUCAAGCUAGAGUGCAGGAGAGGAAGGUAGAAUUCCCGGUGUAGCGGUGAAAUGCGUAGAGAUCGGGAGGAAUACCAGUGGCGAAGGCGGCCUUCUGGACUGACACUGACACUGAGGUGCGAAAGCGUGGGUAGCAAACAGGAUUAGAUACCCUUGUAGUC